rnacentral:rRNA from 1 species
AUUGAACGCUGGCGGCAGGCUUAACACAUGCAAGUCGAGCGGAGAUGAGGUGCUUGCACCUUAUCUUAGCGGCGGACGGGUGAGUAAUGCUUAGGAAUCUGCCUACUAGUGGGGGACAACAUUCCGAAAGGAAUGCUAAUACCGCAUACGCCCUACGGGGGAAAGCAGGGGAUCUUCGGACCUUGCGCUAAUAGAUGAGCCUAAGUCGGAUUAGCUAGUUGGUGGGGUAAAGGCCUACCAAGGCGACGAUCUGUAGCGGGUCUGAGUGGAUGAUCCGCCACACUGGGACUGAGACACGGACCAGACUCCUACGGGAGGCAGCAGUGGGGAAUAUUGGACAAUGGGCGGAAGCCUGAUCCAGCCAUGCCGCGUGUGUGAAGAAGGCCUUUUGGUUGUAAAGCACUUUAAGCGAGGAGGAGGCUACCUGGAUUAAUACUCUAGGAUAGUGGACGUUACUCGCAGAAUAAGCACCGGCUAACUCUGUGCCAGCAGCCGCGGUAACAC